UGAGUAACACGUGGGUGAUCUGCCCUGCACUUCGGGAUAAGCUUGGGAAACUGGGUCUAAUACCGGAUAGGACAGCUGUUUAGUGUCAGUUGUGGAAAGUUUUUUCGGUGCAAGAUGAGCUCGCGGCCUAUCAGCUUGUUGGUGGGGUAAUGGCCUACCAAGGCGUCGACGGGUAGCCGGCCUGAGAGGGUGUACGGCCACAUUGGGACUGAGAUACGGCCCAG
rnacentral:rRNA from 1 species